UUUAGAACUCGAGAUAUGGGCUGAACACUGAACAGUGUCUGGGCUGCAGGACAGAUUCGGACUUCUUCGUUGGGCUCCCAUGAAAGUUAUAGGCCUAUGUCUUACCUUUCCAUC
rnacentral:pre_miRNA from 1 species